ensembl:lncRNA
GGUGGACCCAAUGCAGUUUUGGGUUUUUAAUUCAACACAAUCAAAAAUUAUAUGUUAAAAUACUCAACAGAUGUUUACUUCAUACCUAUUACAAGUAAUAUAAACAGCAUAUAUGGUCAAAAUUGACCCUUUUCCUGUCAGGGGCAGAAACACAAAACUCACACUCUUACAGACUCUACAGACCCAAACACCUUACAAGGAUUAAAGAAGACAACUGAAGGUAAUCUAAACAGCAAGCUAACCUAUGAAACAGCAUUGCACAAUGGAGAACAAUCGACGUUGUCAGCUGGCUCUCCUGGUGCACAUUCUUCAAAGUGAAAAACAAAGAAUAAAAAAGAAUAAGGAUGAUGUACUCUGCUUUUUUGGACAAAAAAGAACAACAAAUCAUGCCCCUCGAUCAUUUAGGGGUACAAAUUGGGCUUUAAAUUGGGCCUUAAAAUUGUCUAGUGUGCAGCCAGCCUUAAAUAUCCAUGGUGAUGACUGAAUUGCGGGUAGGUGUGAUCAUUAAUGAAUGUCCAUAGUAACUGAUGAGUGGCAGGAAACUAGAACAACGGAAGCAGGAAAGUGAUGAAUACAAACCAAAAGUCCAUGAAAAUCAAAUAAAAAAAUACAUGAUCAUGACAAAAACAACUCAUAAUGAAAUGAACAAGUUUUUCACAACCUAAUUUAAAAAAAAAUAGACCUAGACAGGCGUCUAGUUGUUAUACUAUAUAUUACAGUUUAUUUUAUUUCAACUAGUACCUUUCAACCUUACACAUACUGCAUUAUUUGAAAAACACAAUACAAUCUGAUUUUCCAUAAUAAAUUUAUUAUUUCACAUAGAAAUAAAUACUAUAUAAUUGAUUGUUUAGCAGUCUGAUUGUUAUGGUCAGCACACAGCAAUGAAAUGGUUACUUCUAGAACACCAGAGUGUGAUAAACACAUUCACACACAAAGAGAACAAUCUAUAAAACUCUGGUAACACUCUCAGUUUCAGCUGUUAGCAUUCAUUAACUUUAUUACUUAACAUGAACAAUAUAUUGCAUUUAUGAAUCUUUAUACAGUAUUAUGUUCAGAAUUUACUAAUAUGUUAUUAAUUAAAAUUGAAACUUGUAUCUGUUAACAUUAGUUAAUACCAUUAACUAAUAUGAACAUUUUUAUUUAUUAAAUUAACAAAGAUUAAAGGGGUCAUAUGAUGCGAUUUCAAGUUUUCCUUUCUCUUUGGAGUGUUACAAGCUGUUCGUGAAUAGGUAAGAUCCCUAAAGUUGCUUGGUGUUAUGUAAACACAGUAUAAGUCAUUAUAAUCAGUAAUUAUGUACCCACUGGAUGGUACAAAUGCCUUGUUUGUAAUGGGUUUUAUUGGUUUUGUCUCGUCGCGCCAGGACACACACAUCACAGUAUGUUAAGGGCUUAACAUUUCCGUCACACGCUUGAGGCAUUCGGCUAAUCACAACACACUGGAUAGCUGGCCAAUCAGAGCACACCUCACUUUUCAGAAAGAUGAGCUUUGUAAAAAUGGAAGCAUUUCAGAAGGCGGGGCAUAGAGGAGAAACAAUAAUUUUACACAGUUUCUCCAUCUGUGCCUCCAUCAGUGUCUCUGUUGAGAAAUAAACACCACUAUUUUCCUCAACCAUCUGCUCCAAUUUAUCCAUCAACACAGACACGUGUGUGUUCAGGUCAAUGAAAUGAUGUCCUCCAAAUCUCUCAGUGACAGACUGUGUUUCUUCAUUUAGUUCUGCUGUCUGAUGCUCUGAAUCCUGCUUUAUGAGGAUCAUGAUGUGUUUGUUGAUUCUUGAGCUGAAGAUCCUCUGGAUCUCUUCUAUCUCUGCUCUGUCUUCAUCAGUUAGUGGAGCAUCAGGAAUGAUGAGGAUGAACACAUGAACUCCAGGGUGACAGAGAGACACACAGCGGUGAGUCUGGCGCAUCACUUCCUCCUCUGAGAGAUCUGUCCAUGAAUCAUUCCCUCUUUCUUUACACAUACAUUACUCAUCUCUUUCUGAGGUUGACUUAUUUUGCCUCUAAAGAUUUUAGACACUGAGUUCUUGAGUGUUGAGUUAUUUCCACACAGCACGAUGUUCAGCUUUGCUUUCCCAGUAGUCCCCACUGAAAACAUUCAUUAGAAUAUAUUAGGUUGCAGUACAUUCUUUUAUAAACUGAAGGGUUUGCACGAAUUUGUUCUCUAUGUAUAAUCUAUAACAACAUACAGAUUGUCUGCACUUACAGCACAGCCUUAAGAGAAAUAGUUCACUCAAAAUGGAACAUUUUAUUAUCAUUUACCCACUUCAAAAGUGGAAAAAUGAAUUCACCAUCGGAAAAAACCCCCACAUACAAAUGAAUCCUACAAGACUUUGUUUUACUGUCAAAUGUCUUAAUUCUCUAUUCACAAAUAUCUACAUUUUUGUUUUCAAAAGAAAUACUAGUUCAAGUCAUACAGUAGUGCUCCUUUUUUUCUCCCUGUCAUUUUUUUUUCUUAAAGACAAUGUAACUAUAAAAGGACAAAACAGUAGUUUAUGAUCAUAUUCUUAGAGGUAUUAUACAGAAAGAAAAUGUUUGACAAACCUCCUCCAUCACUUGCUGUUUUUGUGCUCUCUUUUAGAUCAGAAUGCUCUUUUUUUGUCUUCUUCUCUGACGGAAGCCCCAGAUCUUCUCAGAUCUUCAUCCUCAUUAUUGUCACAGAUGAGAAAUUCUAUUCUUUCUUUCUUGAGUAUCUCUUCUGUCCUUCUGAAAAUCUCAAAGCGCCAUCCUGUGCUUACUGUAUUAAACUUCAGAUGUCCUCCUCCACACUCCUUUAUUAAAUCAUGAAUAGAGUUAUUCCUAGAAGUGAAUAUUGAUCUGCGUGGCACAUCAUCAGUAGUCAGCACUAUAGUGUGUUUCAAGGCCUAGUAACUGAAGAGGUUCAGUACAUAUUUCACUCUGUGUCUGUCGUUCUCAUUGAAGUUGUUAUUCUGCAGAACGAGUACAAACACAUGAGGUCCUGGAUCAGAAUGAGACACACAGUCUCUCACUCCAUCUAUUAUCACUCCCUGUGGGAAAUUUGGCUGGAGCAGGUGAGGAUUGUAGACUGUGAUGUAUCUCCCCUCCAGCUCUCCACUGAUUCUGUCACUGUGCUGCUGUGAAUGAGAUGGAGCUUCACUGUCAAACACUGCUCUUCCCAGUAUAGUGUUUGCCACUCGCCUGUUUUCUGAUCCAUUCUUUCCUAUCAGCACAAUCCUCAGAUCACUCACUGAAAAAGAGCACACACAAACAAAGUUCAAUAAAAAACACUGCGCAAGAAUUUCAUAUUAAAUAUUCUACAGAACAAACAGAUUUAACACAAGCAGUAAUGGUAAAAUAUCACGUAACCCCUUCACAAGGAUUUUGUCACUCUUUGAAAAUCUUCUGAUGUUUUCUUGUGUUUGAAUGACACAAAACACAGAAACAGCUUCAACUGCACUGUGCAGAGAUCAUGUUUUCUCUAGGCUACUGAAUUAAGAGUACUGUAUGGUGUCUGACAUCACUAGUGUGACGUAUAAUGAUAUCUCAGCUAUUACAGACUGAAUGAGUUGUAUGGUAGUUGUAUCCCAGAUAGCAAAAUUCCUACAGGCCCAGAUCAGGCCCACACAUCUGGCCCACAUACCGC